GAUGAACGCUAGCGGCAGGCCUAACACAUGCAAGUCGAGGGGUAGAAUUAGCUUGCUAAUUUGAGACCGGCGCACGGGUGCGUAACGCGUAUGCAAUCUGCCUUGUACUGAGGGAUAGCCCAGAGAAAUUUGGAUUAAUACCUCAUAGUAUUAUGACGUGGCAUCACAUUAUAAUUAAAGUUCCAACGGUACAAGAUGAGCAUGCGUCCCAUUAGUUAGUUGGUAAGGUAACGGCUUACCAAGACGAUGAUGGGUAGGGGUCCUGAGAGGGGGAUCCCCCACCCUGGUACUGAGACACGGGCCAGACUCCUACGGGAGGCAGCAGUGAGGAAUAUUGGUCAAUGGGCGCAAGCCUGAACCAGCCAUGCCGCGUGCAGGAUGACGGUCCUAUGGAUUGUAAACUGCUUUUAUACGGGAAGAAACACUGCUACGUGUAGCAGCUUGACGGUACCGUAAGAAUAAGGAUCGGCUAACUCCGUGCCAGCCGCCGCCGUAACAC
rnacentral:rRNA from 1 species